rnacentral:rRNA from 1 species
CCUACGGGUGGCAGCAGUGAGGAAUAUUGGACAAUGGACGAGAGUCUGAACCAGCGAAGUAGCGUGAAGGAUGACUGCCCUAUGGGUUGUAAACUUCUUUUAUAUGGGAAUAAAAUGUUCCACGUGUGGGAUUUUGUAUGUACCAUCUGAAUAAGGAUCGGCUAACUCCGUGCCAGCAGCCGCGGUAAUACGGAGGAUCCGAGCGUUAUCCGGAUUUAUUGGGGUUAAAGGGAGCGUAGGUGGAUUGUUAAGUCAGUUGUGAAAGUUUGCGGCUUAACCGUAAAAUUGCAGUUGAAACUGGCAGUCUUGAGUACAGUAGAGGUGGGCGGAAUUCGUGGUGUAGCGGUGAAAUGCUUAGAUAUCACGAAGAACUCCGAUUGCGAAGGCAGUUCACUGGACUGCAACUGACACUGAGGCUCGAAAGUGUGGGUAUCAAACAGGAUUAGAUACCCUGGUAGUC